rnacentral:rRNA from 1 species
GAAUGGCUCAUUAAAUCAGUUAUGGUUCCUNGGAUCGUACUUUACUACUUGGAUAACUGUGGCAAUUCUAGAGCUAAUACAUGCAGCAGAGCUCCGACCUUCGGGAACGAGCGCUUUUAUUAGACCAAAACCGAUCGGGCCUCGUGUCCGUUCUCUGUGGUGACUCUGUAUAACUUUGGGCUGAUCGCACGGGCUUGUCCCGGCGACGUAUCUUUCAAGUGUCUGCCUUAUCAACUGUCGAUGGUAGGUUACGCGCCUACCAUGGUCGUAACGGGUAACGGGGGAUCAGGGUUCGAUUCCGGAGAGGGAGCCUGAGAAACGGCUACCACAUCCAAGGAAGGCAGCAGGCGCGCAAAUUACCCACUCCCGGAACGGGGAGGUAGUGACGAAAAAUAACAAUACGGGACUCUUUUGAGACCCCGUAAUUGGAAUGAGUACACUUUAAAUCCUUUAACGAGGAUCAAUUGGAGGGAAAGUCUGGUGCCAGCAGCUGCGAUAACUCCAGCUCCAAUAGCGUAUAUUAAAGUUGUUGCGGUUAAAAAGCUCGUAGUUGGAUCUCAGUUCGGGASGGARMGGUCCACCUAUCGGUGGUCACUUUCCCKUCCCNAACACCGGCCGGUUUCUGUAGAUGAUCUUCACCGGUUGUCUGCGGUGACCGGCAAGUUUACUUUGAAAAAAUUAGAGUGCUCAAAGCAGGCGCGACGCCUGAAUAAUGGUGCAUGGAAUAAUGGAAUAGGACCUCGGUUCUANUUUUGUUGGUUUUCGGAACACGAGGUAAUGAUUAAGAGGGACAGACGGGGGCAUUCGUAUUGCGACGCUAGAGGUGAAAUUCUUGGACCGUCGCACGACGAACUACUGCGAAAGCAUUUGCCAAGAAUGUUUCCAUUAAUCAAGAACGAAAGUUAGAUGAUCGAAAGCGAUCAGAUACCGCUCUAGUUCUAACCAUAAACGAUGCCAGCCAGCGAUUCGGCUGUGUUCCUCAAAUGACACGCCGGGCAGCUUCCGGGAAACCAAAGCUUUUGGGUUCCGGGGGAAGUAUGGUUGCAAAAUUGAAACUUAAAGGAAUUGACGGAAGGGCACACAAGGWRUGGGGCCUGCGGCUUAAUUUGACUCAACACGGCGAAACUCACCCGGCCCGGACAYAGGAAGGAUUGACAGAUURAGAGCUCUUUCUUGAUUCUGUGAUAGGUGGUGCAUGGCCGYUYYUAGUUGGUGGAGUGAUUUGUCUGCUUUAUUGCGAUAACGAGCGAGAUUCCAGCCUGCUAAAUAGACGAGCCGAUCAUUUAAAGUCGGACGUUCUUCUUAGAGGGACAAGCGGUGUUCAGCCGCACGAAACGGAGCAAAAACAGGUCAGGAUGCCCUUAGAUGUUCGGGGCCGCACGCGCGCCACAUUGAAGGAAACAGCGUGUGCUUUUCUGGUCCGACAGGACUGGGUAACCCUCUGAAAUUCCUUCGUGCUGGGGAUAGUGUUUUGCAACUAUCACACUUGAACGAGGAAUUCCCAGUAAACAUGAGUCAUCAGCUCGUGUUGAUUACGUCCCUGCGCUUUGUGCACACCGCCCGUCGCUAUUAUCGAUGAAUUUUGGAGUGAGAUCUUCGGACUGGUGCCCGGACUGGACUUAUGUUCGAGACGGAGUGCCGGAAAGAUGACCGAACUUGAAUAUUUAGAGAAAAUAAAAGUCGUAACAAGGCUUCCGUAGGUGA